GCAGCAGCGGCGAUCGACGGCGGAGGAUGAGCCUUCGGAGCCUCCUGACCUCAGCCGCGGUGGCGGGGCUGACGGAGGCGCGAGCCCGGAUUUUCGGGCACCAACUGAACCCCACGGGGAAGCGGUCGCCCCACAAGAUCCUGCGCAAGAAACUCAUCGGUCACAAGGUCGCCCAGUGGUACCCCUACGACGUCAAGAACGAAGAUCCCAUGGUCAAAGCUCG
rnacentral:misc_RNA from 1 species